rnacentral:rRNA from 1 species
AUUGAACGCUGGCGGCAUGCCUUACACAUGCAAGUCGAACGGCAGCACGGGAGCAAUCCUGGUGGCGAGUGGCGAACGGGUGAGUAAUAUAUCGGAACGUGCCCAGUCGUGGGGAUAACGUAGCGAAAGUUACGCUAAUACCGCAUACGAUCUAAGGAUGAAAGCGGGGGAUCGCAAGACCUCGCGCGAUUGGAGCGGCCGAUAUCAGAUUAGGUAGUUGGUGAGGUAAAGGCUCACCAAGCCGACGAUCUGUAGCUGGUCUGAGAGGACGACCAGCCACACUGGGACUGAGACACGGCCCAGACUCCUACGGGAGGCAGCAGUGGGGAAUUUUGGACAAUGGGCGCAAGCCUGAUCCAGCAAUGCCGCGUGCAGGAUGAAGGCCUGGUUGUAAC